AGCCAGAGGAAACUCUGGU
rnacentral:snRNA from 1 species